rnacentral:rRNA from 1 species
CAGUAGCCACGGUAAUACGUAGGGUGCAAGCGUUAAUCGGAAUUACUGGGCGUAAAGCGUGCGCAGGCGGUUAUAUAAGUCAGAUGUGAAAUCCCCGGGCUCAACCUGGGAACUGCAUUUGAGACUGUAUGGCUAGAGUGUGUCAGAGGGGGGUAGAAUUCCACGUGUAGCAGUGAAAUGCGUAGAUAUGUGGAGGAAUACCGAUGGCGAAGGCAGCCCCCUGGGAUAACACUGACGCUCAUGCAUGAAAGCGUGGGGAGCAAACAGGAUUAGAUACCCGCGUAGUCCCUGUCUCUUAUAC